UAUUAUUUAUACUUUUCUCUUAUAAUCUUCUCAUUUAUUUAUUAGAUUUAUUUAUCUAAAAUAAACUAUUUAUUAGGUAGUGGUAAUUGAAAUUUUUCUUUUAUUAUUAAUAUUUAAGUAUAAUUAUCAAUUAUUAUAAUUAAUAUCUAGACAAUGAAAUUAGGUGAAGACCAAUCUAUAUUAGAAAUAAUAAUGAAUAUUUAAAUAUCUGAAUUGAAACAUCUUAGUAAGAUAUAUAAAAACCAAUAGGGAAUAUUUUAGUAUUGGUGAAAGAAAGAAUAAUUAGUUUAUUAAGUAAUAUUUUAUAAUAUGAAUAAAGUAGUACUACUACUAAAACUAAAAAUUAAUUAUAAAUAAUAAGUACCGUGAGGGAAUGAUAAUAAAGAUAUCAUUAAUUAUUAAAUAAAUAAAAUUUAUAAUAAUAAUUAUUUGUAUAUUCUUAAUAAAUACUUAAAUAAAGAGCAACUAUAGAAUAUAGUGUACCUCUUGUAUAAUGGGUCAGUGAGUUACUUUUAUUAGCGAAAUAUUAAAAUUAAAUAUAAAUAGAAAUUAAAGUUAAUGGAAGUAGACCCGAAAGUAUAUGAUUUAUACAUAAUCAAGAUAUAUUUUAUGAAAGAUUAUAUUAUUAGUUGAACUUAUUAUUAAUAAUAAGGUAUAUUAUAAUAAAAAUUAUAAAAAUUAUAAAAUUUAUAAUAUAAUAAAGAAUAUUUUAUCAAUUAUCCUUGUUAUAAGGAUAGAUAGUUUUAUAAAUAAAUAGAAUUAUUUUAAUGAUAUUAAUUGAGUAAUCUAAUAUAGUCUGAACAGGUGGGUGUUGCAAUACCUUCUGAAGAAUUAUGUAUCGAUGUGAAAGGCUACUCUCAUAUACAGAUAGCUGGUUAUCUGUGAAAUAUAUAUUAGUAUAGCGAUCAAUAAAUACAUCACCAGGUAAAUCACUUAAUUUAUAAUGGGAAUUUUGACGAAUUUAUCAUAUGAAUUAAACAUCUGAACUGGAUGAAUAAUGCGCCCUGGCAUAAUUUCAUUGAAAUUAUCCAGGGCGUUAUUUGUAUAAUUGAUCAGUCAAUUUAUGUGCGAUAAGGUACUUAAAUUAAUAGGGAAUAACCUAGAUUAUUAAAUGUAAGUCCUUAAUAAUAAUUAAGUGGUAUGAAUCUUGAUGAAAAAAUAUAUAAUAAUAUAAUUAUAUAUUAAUAAGAUAGUUAAUUGGUAGAUAUGAUAGUAAUCAUCUUCUAAAGAAAGUGUAACAACUCAUUAACUGAAUUAAGAAUCUAAGAUAAGAUAUACAGGCCUAAAUUAUUAACUGAAUUAUAAAAUGUAUGCUUAAUCAUAUAAAGCUAAUAUUAUUUAUAAGGAAAAAUAUAUUCAUAUAUGAUACCUAGUAUUCUUUAUUAGGUGAAAUAUAUAUAUUAAAUAUGAAUAAUAUAAAAAAAUAUGAUAUAAUAAUGAUACAUUGGUAACAGAUUAUACUAUAAAAAUAAUAGUACAAAAUAUGCUGACUUGAGUAACGCAAGAAGAGAUAAGCUCUUCCUCCAUAUGUAUAAGGUUUUUAAUAUAAAUUAACGGUCUCUAAUUAAUAAUAUGAAAAUAUAAAUUAAGAUGAGUGAAAGAAUACAAGAAAAAGAGAUAACCGUACUGGAAACCGACACUGGUAUACGGGGAAAUGAGGUCGAUACGCCUUAGCGUAGCUUUGCUUUCGCUAAGGCGGUUGAUUGUUCUUUAACUAUACAAAUCCUUUUGUUACUACAUUUCCCUUGGAGUAUGAGAUAAUCCAUAUGAAUGAACUCGGCAAUAAGAAUUUAACUUCUUUAAUAUAGUGCGACUGUUUACCAAAAACAUAGCUUAUUGCAGAUCUGAAAAGACUAGUAUAAUAAGUGAUACCUGCCCGGUGUUUAAACCAUAAUAAAUAAAUUUUAUAUAAACGGCGGUCUUAUCAUGAGGAUCCGAAGGUAGCGAAAUUCCUAGACGCUUAAUUGGCGUCCCGCAUGAAUGAUUAUACGAUGCUAUAAAUGUAUCCAUAUGGCUCUCAGUGAAAUAGUAAUUGCAGUGAAGAUACUGUAUAGCAAUAGAUUGACGAGAAGACCCUAUACAGCUUUACUAUAAAAUUAUUUUGAUAUUAGAUUAAUUAUUUAAUAAUUCUUUAUUUAUAUAUAUAUUGUUUUAUAAAAUAAUAUAAUCGAUCUAUAACUAUUACUAAUUUAAAUAAAAUAUAAAAUAUAUAUGAGAUAGUUAUUAAAAUAUCUAAUUUAUGAAAAAGAAAUAGGUAAUAUAAGUUUCUUUUAUAAGACAGAAUAAUUCUGUUAGUUUCGAUGGGGCGUCGACAUCACAAAAGAUAACUGAUGUGUCAAAUUGAUAAUAAUUAUAUAAAUAUACUUAAUAAAAGAUAUAAUAGUAUAAAGAGAUACAGUAAGAUUAAAUGGUAAUUAAUGGAGGAUAGUUGUGGGAUAAAUGGUAACGCCAUAGCUGCAUUGCAGCUAUGGCGCAUUUCUACAUAUCCAAUAUUCAGGAUAAUACCUUAACUGUGUUUUAAUUUAAUAAUUUACAUAUUAUUAAAGUACGUAAGUAUUGUAUAUUGAACAGGCACUAACUUAAGCAAAGUAUGUCGAUAACGAAUCAAAGUUACGUUAGGGAUAACAGGGUAAUACCGCUAGAGAGUUGAUAUCGUCAGCGGUGUUUGCCACCUCGAUGUCGUCUAGGCUCAACCUUAUGGUCGUAGUAACUAUAAAGGGUAUGACUGUUCGUCAUUUAAGGAGCUACUUGAGAUGGGUUAAUUACGGCGUGAGCCAGUAAUGUUUCUAUCAUCUAUUGCAGAAUAACAUUUAUUAUAUUAUAUGUGUACGAGAGGAUAAUAUAAUCUAAUUCCAUGAUGAUAACAAGGAUUAUUGAUAUAUACCUAAUGUAUAAUCAUAGGUAAGUUAAGAUAAAUAAUAAUUAAUAAUAGUUAUGAUUUUAUCUUAUUUCCUUACUAAUCAAGUUAUAAGUUAAAAUUAGUAGAAAUAAAUAUUGAUUGACUAUCAAAUAUGAAGUCUAUAAUAAUAUGUUAUAUAAACAUUGAAGAUAAUAAUGUAUAUAAUUAAUACCUAGUUAUGUUAUAUUACUAUAAGUUUCAGUCGGAUGAAAUUUAAUUAUUAGGAUAUAACACCCUUUAUUUUAAAGGUUACAUAAUAUUCAUUAUAUAUUAUAAAGAAUAAUAUAUAUAAUAUUAAUAUAGGAAAAUUAAUUUAAGAGAGAUAAGGGAGAAUCAAUUACCACGAAGAAUAAGAAUAGCCCUAGCAAAUCCUUAAGGGGAUGUAGCUAGGGCGUAUAAUUAGGUAGGUAUGUAUACCAUAUAAUACCCACUCCUCAUUUUA
rnacentral:rRNA from 1 species